rnacentral:rRNA from 1 species
CCUACGGGAGACAGCAGUGAGGAAUAUUGGUCAAUGGGCGUAAGCCUGAACCAGCCAAGUCGCGUGAGGGAUGAAGGUUCUAUGGAUCGUAAACCUCUUUUGUAAGGGAAUAAAGUGCGGGACGUGUCCCGUGUUGUAUGUACCUUAUGAAUAAGGAUCGGCUAACUCCGUGCCAGCAGCCGCGGUAAUACGGAGGAUCCGAGCGUUAUCCGGAUUUAUUGGGUUUAAAGGGUGCGUAGGCGGCCUUUUAAGUCAGCGGUUAAAGGCCGGGGCUCAACCACGGCAAGGCCGUUGAAACUGGGAGGCUGGAGUUUGUGUGAGGCAGGCGGAAUGCGUGGUGUAGCGGUGAAAUGCUUAGAUAUCACGCAGAACCCCGAUUGCGAAGGCAGCGUGCCAGGCCAUGACUGACGCUGAUGCACGAAAGCGUGGGGAUCAAACAGGAUUAGAUACCCCAGUAGUC